GUCAAUAAGGCAAUCACAUCAACCUUUAUCUUCCCCCCUACUACCAUACCUGUCUCAAAAUUCAUACUAAUUUACAUGCAAAAACUUUGUUCACUCCCCUUUUAAAUUUAAUCCGAGUACACUAAAGCUUACAACGCACACUUCAUUUACAACUUCUUCAAACCCCCUUCAUUUCUCAAAACUCACAACCAAGGUAAACAUUUCCUCUCUCUCUCAAAAAACCACACGGCCGACCGGAAUUCACAAGAAAAGUCAUGGAAAAUCACCAGCAACCCGAGGUUCCAGAGAUGGCGGAUCAGAGAUUGGGGAUAAACGUCGUCAAUCAGUCCCUCACGUGGCUCUCUUCGACGAAGAGAUUAUGGGAAGGUUGAUUUUUUUCUCGUUUCUCAACCGCCGAUGCAUUGGAACUGGCUAAAGUGUGAAAAACAUGGAGAGAUAUUAUGUUUCCUACAAUAUUAUAUUUUUAUGAAAUAAUGGACGAUAAUUGGUAGACAAUUGAACACUUUAGGGAAGUUUUUUUUGUGUAGGAAAAAAACAUUAACUCUGUGUGAAAAUCGACUAAGACUUUUGAUGUCGUAAUUACUUUUGGUGAUCCAAUGCAUUAUCUUUGGUCAUUUGUAACUUCGAAUACGAAUGUACAUAUGAAUUAUAUUUAGUAAGUUAAUUAUAGUGCUUGGACAACAUUAUAUAUCA